GUGUUGAAGCGUGCAUCUUUUGAUAGGAAGCUAUUCAAUGUGAAAGAUCAGCUAACCAAUACCAUCUCAGUUGGUGAUAUGGUUAGAGGUUUGGAUGGUCCUUGAAGGAUAGACAAGGAAAUGUUUAGCAGAUCUAUAAAGGGUUUCUAUAUGACCAAAGUGAGCAGGAUAAUAGUGGUUAUCACUGUGUCAAAGGUCAGAUGUGUGAAAAAAUUACAGGCAGUGAUGGUGUAUCGAAUGAGAAGGUUUGUACAUUUCAGGGUACAUUAGAAAUAAUCGUAUUCUUAUGAUACCCAUAUUUGUUCCCCUAAAAUUUUUGUGCUUGUUCUAUUUAAUCAGGGAAGUGAGCCUGGUCCCUCAUGACCUGUGGCUCAGGUUUCUCAUCAUCACCUAAAUCCCCUGUUUCGCCUGAGAAAUCUUGGAGAGUGAAGGAUGAUAACUGCAGUUGUAUGUUUUUUUAUUAGUCUGCUCUUAAAUCCUCUCUUUCUAUUUUAUGUCUCGAAUCUUGGCACUGCUCCCAAUUCAAAUAUUUUUUCCUUUAACUUGUAUUUCUUCUUCCUCAAGCAGUCAAGUGCAAUGAUAGAGAUGGAAUGUUUUCCGUUGGUCCGUCUCUAAGAAUUUGAGUGGGGCCUUUGAAGGGAUAUCUUUGUGGUGUAUUAGACAUUUCGACGUUCUGAUGUUAUAGUAAAGCUUAAUUCCCAACAAAAAAAUUCUCACAUUUUUCUCCUUU